rnacentral:lncRNA from 1 species
CUGCAGAAGGAGCAGAAGGCAGUGGAUCAGCUGCAGGAGAAGCUGGUGGCCUUGGAGACAGGCAUCCAGAAGGAGAGGGACAAGAUUUCGUGCCAGCCUGCAGGGGCCACUCCCAGAUGCCCAACACCGUGCCAAAAGCUCUGAAGUGGAGAGGGGUCAUCUAUUUCUGGAUCUGACAGUAUUUUUCCAAUAAUUUAAUUUUCCUUCUGGAUUUUUUGAGUUUCUUCCUCCUGCCCUCAAUUUUGAGAAUCUUAAAAAUUCUUUGACCCUUUUUUUUUUUUUUUGGAGCUUUGGCUCUGGCCCCCAAAACCACACUCCCAAAUUCUGUGCCAAAUUAACUCCACGCUUGCCAACUAGGCCUACACUAACGUCCCUUCUAAUCACUGACUUGGGCUUUCCGCAUGCCCCUAACUGCCAGUGCCACCCAGGUAGGGCUGAGCCAUGCCCGCUUUUGCACUAACUCAGUGGGUGCCUCUGUGCCCCUGGCCUCUCUCCUCUAAUGCUGCCUCCUUCUUUUCUUGGUGUGGGACCCCAGAGUUUUUAUAUGAAAGGAAUUGGCAGGAGGAUUGGUAGCUCAACUUUACUCAAGGGGGCAUUGGCAGGAGGGGUAUGAGGGUGGGGGAAAUGCUUGGCUGUGGAGCUGCUCAGACUGAAGAGUUCUUUCCAUUGGAAAUGCCUAGGCUGCUGUCUUAGGCUACUGUCUGAGGACAGCAUGAGAUAACCCAAGGAAGCUUCCUGGCAGCUUCCUGCACAGCAGAGUAGGCUGUCUUCCACCUAUUCCCCUGCCUGCCCUCUGGAGCCAAGGAGUAAGGAGGCCCAGUUGUGGGCGUGGUCUUGGAGGGCUUGAACAGGACCUCUCUGCCAACAUAGUGGCUACCCUUCCUAGCUUUCCCUUGGGGCUUCCCAAAUUCAGAUACCCAUCAGAGGUUGGUAAUGGGUAGCCCCUACUCUUCUCCUCACUCCUGAGCCACCUAUAACACAGGGUAUUUUAAAGGCUGAGUCCAAGGAUGAGGAAGCACCUAGACCCCAGGAACUGGCCUGAUUAGGUCCUCCUCUCUGGGGAUGGGUAGAUGAGUUGGGUAGAGGGAUGGGAGUGACUGGGUUCAGCAUAGGGCCUCACUCCCAGGGAUAAAGCUCAGCAUUUCAGAAGGAACCUGCCUAACCUCAUUUCCCACUGACCUGGAGUUUUUUGGAGGCCUAGACUUCGCUUUCUCUGUGGGGAAGAGAGGUUAUUCGAGGCUGUGGUAGUGAUGGUGGUGGUGGUGAUGGUGGUAGUGAUGGCAAUGGUGUGGAGGGUUCACUUGGCUUCCCUCCCCUGCCCUCAGCCCAUGGCUCCACUCUGGCUUUGGAAUCAGUAACCACAGUUUCUCCUCUGCCUGUCCUUUGAGGGGUGACUCACCAAACCCUCCCCUCGUCCCCCUUCCCACCCUCAGAGGUGUCAUCUCACCCCAGAAAGAACCGUCCACCCCCUCUGUACCCACUCCUGGGACUCAUUACCAUGGAAACAGCCCGAACUAAUUGCAACCCUCAUCCCUGAAGUUCAGCCUGCAGGGCCAACACCCCACCCCGACCCUGGGCAGGAGGGGAGGGAGGCCAAGGGUGUUGGGUUGGGGUCCCCUCUGCCACACUGCUUUAACAUCCUCAGCUCCUGAUUGACGCCCAACCCUGGAUUUAACCCUCACCAUCACUACCCUUUUUCCCUGGGUUAAAUUUUGGUCUCUGGGCUGUAGUAGAAGGGGAGGGAUGAGAGCUGGAGGCUCUGUGAUGCAGAACCAGCCUUGACUGGUUUGGAGAGAAAACAGAGGGCCUUUUCUCGAGACCUACCCAACAAUUUCAGUUCAAGGGACUUCAGGAGACCAAAAUCUGUGCCCUGCCCCCACACCUCUGCCUGUGUUACCUCAUCCCCUGCACCUCUGACUGCCGUGUUACCUUCAGCUCCUGGCCUUGGGCCCUCUCCCUCUUCACCUCUUUCCCUCCUCACUUUCCCUUUCUGCCCUUUUCUUUCUCCUCGCCUGGUUAUUCUCCUCUUUGAUUCUAGCCUUUUUUUCUCCUCUCUCAACCCCCAUUGCCGACCCCCAUUCUGUCCCGCCCUGGCCGCCC